AUUGAACGCUGGCGGCAGGCCUAACACAUGCAAGUCGAGCGGAUGAAGGGAGCUUGCUCCUGGAUUCAGCGGCGGACGGGUGAGUAAUGCCUAGGAAUCUGCCUGGUAGUGGGGGAUAACGUCCGGAAACGGGCGCUAAUACCGCAUACGUCCUGAGGGAGAAAGUGGGGGAUCUUCGGACCUCACGCUAUCAGAUGAGCCUAGGUCGGAUUAGCUAGUUGGUGGGGUAAAGGCCUACCAAGGCGACGAUCCGUAACUGGUCUGAGAGGAUGAUCAGUCACAGUGGAACUGAGACAGGGUCGACACCCCUGGGAGGGGGCGGUGUGGGAAAUUUGGGACAGGGGGCAAACCCCUUCCCGCCCCGUCCCGUGUGUGAAAAAAGGUUUUUGGUUUUAAAAAGCAUUUAAAUGGGGGAGAGGGGGGAAAAUUUAAACCCCUUUGUUUUUAGCCUUCCCCAACAAAAUAACCCCCGUAAAAUUUC
rnacentral:rRNA from 1 species